rnacentral:rRNA from 1 species
UACGUAGGGUGCGAGCGUUGUUCGGAAUUACUGGGCGUAAAGAGCUCGUAGGUGGUUUGUCGCGUUGUUCGUGAAAACUCACAGCUUAACUGUGGGCGUGCGGGCGAUACGGGCAGACUGGAGUACUGCAGGGGAGACUGGAAUUCCUGGUGUAGCGGUGGAAUGCGCAGAUAUCAGGAGGAACACCGGUGGCGAAGGCGGGUCUCUGGGCAGUAACUGACGCUGAGGAGCGAAAGCGUGGGGAGCGAACAGG